CUUCACUUCGCUACUUAAGAUUUUCUACUGAUUCAAGAUGUCCUCUAUAGGGUCAGGUUCACUGGACCUGAAAUAUGAGAAGACGUCAGUUCAUGCUGAAGUCAAAAAUGUGUCCGUUAGUGACUUUGCUGUGGGAUGUGCAACAGCUGCAAUGGUGGCUUAUACUGCCUCAAAGAUCUGGGGUGGACAACAAUCAAACAAGAAGUAAAGUAUCACCCAAACUGAGGCUAUACAUCAGCAUGUUUAUGCAAUGUCCUCAUCAAUAAAAUAAACAUGCAUUA